UAAACUACGAUUAGAUACCCUAUUAUUUUAAAUGUAAAUAAAUAUACUUGAGUAGUAAUAGUUAUGUGCUUGAAACUCAAAGAAUUUGGCGGUGUUUUAGUCCUUUCAGAGGAACCUGUCCCGUAAUCGAUAAUCCGCGAAGAACCUUGCUUAAUUUGGUUUUCAGCUUGUAUACCGCCGUCGUCAGAAUGUCCUUUAAAGGUUUUAAUUUUCUAGAAUUUUUAUUAAAAAUGAUGUCAGGUCAAGGUGCAGUUUAUAAUUAAGUGGAGAUGGGUUACAAUAAAUAUACUUAUACGGAUAACAUCUUGCAAAAGAUGUUUGAAGGUGGAUUUGAUGGUAAUUUUAUUUAUAAAGUUAAUUUGAUUUUGGCUCUAAAACAUGCACACAUCGCCCGUCGCUCUUA
rnacentral:rRNA from 1 species